CAGGCUCUGUGAACUAAGUGACUGAAGCUGAUUGACACAGGUCAAGGGGACUUCAAGGAAGAAAGCCAGCCUUAGACUGACAUCAGAGAACCAAACUCCGGUGUCUAAGCUCAAGUAAUACAAGUAAUUGGGAAGACACUGGCUCAGAGCCUGUCUCUGGUGACCACUGAAUUGUCCAGCACCUGAGGUCCCUGGAGCCCACGGACUGAGCCCAUCUGGGCUAAAAGAGGUCCCAUACAUCCUUCUCAAAGGCCUAUAUAAAUGCCAAGCAGAGUUAUAGCAGGCCUUGCGUGGAUGAAACAGUCCCAACGAACACUUUAAAAAGACAAAUGUUCCCGACAGCACUGGUUGAAUUCAAAACUCGGCAGAUCCAUGUUCUUAUCCUUAGACAAGAGAGGGGCCAUAACAAGAUGGAAUGACGGAACAGACGUGAGAGAUGAUGUCCACCCAGAGGGUCUGCACUUCUCGGAGCCAGAAGGUGGAGAAGAGUAGGGAUGGAGGAAGUUCGAAGUUUUAGGAGUCUGCUCUUGGGUCCCUAGGCAUGAGGACAAGCUUUUCCUGUACUCAAUGCUCAUCUCUCAGUUGUGCCCACAUUGGUACACAUUACUUGCUUUCAACUGCUGCUGCUGCUGUUUCCUAAUUCAAUAAAGAUAUGGCUGGCUCAGCAGAGAGCUGUCA
rnacentral:lncRNA from 1 species